GGGCCAGACUCCUACGGGAGGCAGCAGUGGUUAAUAUUGCACAAUUUUUUGAACCCUGAUGCAGCGACGCCGCGUUUUUGAAGGAGUGCUUCUGCAUGUAAAGCCCUAUCGGCAGGGAAGAAGCAAGACUGUACCUGACUAAGAAGCCCCGGCUAACUACGUGCCAGCAGCCGCGGUAAUACGUAGGGGGCGAGCGUUAUCCGGAUUCACUGGGUGUAAAGGGAGCGUAGACGGCCAUGCAAGCCAGGGGUGAAAGCCCGGGGCCCAACCCCGGGACUGCCCUUGGAACUGCAUGGCUGGAGUGCGGGAGGGGCAGGCGGAAUUCCUGGUGUAGCGGUGAAAUGCGUAGAUAUCAGGAGGAACACCGGCGGCGAAGGCGGCCUGCUGGACCGCGACUGACGUUGAGGCUCGAAAGCGUGGGGAGCGAACAGGAUUAGAUACCCUCGUAAA
rnacentral:rRNA from 1 species